rnacentral:lncRNA from 1 species
AUGAUUAGGUGUGGCCAACAGUGAACAACAAGAAGUACGAGACACUGUCAUACCUACCUCCUCUAACCAGAGAGCAACUCAUCAAGGAAGUUGAUUACCUUCUCCGCAACAAGCUCAUUCCUUGCAUCGAGUUCGAGUUGGAGGUAUUAUUUCUCAAUCUAUAUAUAUAUAUAUAUAUAUAUAUAUAUAUAUAUAUAUAUAUAUAUAUAUAUAUAUAUGUUUUCUUAAUUUUAAAAUUAAAAAUGAAUAAAUAAAAAUGAAAAAUAUAAAAAAAAAUGUAUGUAUAUGCAGCACGGAUUUGUGUUCCGUCAGUACAACAGCUCCCCAGGAUACUACGACGGUCGAUACUGGACAAUGUGGAAGUUGCCUAUGUUCGGGUGCACAGACGCAGUACAGGUAGUGAACGAGCUUGACGAGGCAAUCAAAGCAUACCCAGAGGGCUUCAUUAGAAUCAUUGGAUUCAACAAUCUCAAGCAAGUCCAGGAUAUCAGUUUCAUUGCCUACAAGCCUGCUGGCUACUAAUAAUUUCUAUUGUGUUUUCCUUUAAUUAGGAUUCCUUUUUUUUUUUGUAUUAUUACUUUCAUUUCCUUUUUCCUGCUUUUCCUAAUCUCUCUAUCUCUUUCGGAUCGAAAAGAUAAAUGAGUGUACGAGGAUAAGUAUUUACUACUCAAUAAACUAUAAUGCAUUUUCUUCCUUUUUAAUAAUUACUAUACUGUCAUCUCUUGAUCGCCUAAGUUAAGCGGGUAAGCCUCGGGAAAAUAUCUUAUUUAAUUUAUUAUUUAUCAGUGAAUAAAUUAUUUGGUUAUAGAUUAUCUUAAUGUAGGAGAAUUCAUGUAAUGAUUAAUGAAUAACUGGAGCUCAAAUGUAAUAGUUGAGAAUAUGGACGCGAGUGCAAUAGUUAGUUGGUAAUAGAAAUUAAUUAAUUAUUUACCGUCAAAUUAAAUAUAAUUAUAUUAUUUUUAGAAUUUGAGUUUAAUUUACUUAUUAGAAGUGCGAUGCAUAUUUUCUCAUUUGGUAUUUAUCGUAGCCCAAUCAAUUAUGUAACUUAUUGAGAAAAUAAAAUUCAACUAAUGGAAUAUAGGAGAAAGAGACUUAUUUCAGAGAAGGAAAAAAUGGCCGUAGUGUCUUGUGGAAGAAAUAACUUAUUUUCUUAGUUAUUUCCUUGUAAAACUCUUUGAUCAGCCCUAUAUAUACAAAACUUGGUUGGAGAGAGAAAGUUGAGAUCCUAACUCGCCUAGCAAAAAUCUUUUACACAUGUUUUUUAAGAAGAUAAUUUUUCUCCUUUUAUUUUCGCUCCCUAUUUCUCAAUUAUAGAUUUAUAAUUCUUCAAGGACAAGUCCACCCUUGUAGAAGAACUGUUAAUCCGAGAUAGACAAUUGAAGAUUGAAGAUUUUGAUAGAAGAUGAAUAUUCUUGAAUGCUCUACAACAACCUUGAUGUUUUGACAAUUGCUACUUUAUCAACCGUUCAAUCGUCACAAAAUUUGAACUUGAGGUUCCUAACAUGUAGCAAUUCGAUCCGAACCAAACGGAUAGUCAAUCCAAUUUUGGGAUAUCAAGUUAUAGGCGUCUAAAGUGUGUUGUAUUGUUCUAGACGGGAGCAAUUUGUGAGAAGCUUUGUUCGUGUUUCCUGCAAUUACUGAAUUCAAGAUGGUAUUUUUGGGUCGUUUCCGAAUAUAUUUUUAAGUUCUAGAUUAGUUUUUAUUUCGCAUUUAUUAAUCUAUAAUUUAUUACGCAAAACAUGCUAGGGAAAAAUUUAUACCCGAAAAACAAAGGUUCGUCAUUCGAAUUAAUUAUCAAUGAUGCGCUCUUGGAAUUUAUAUAUAUAUAUAUAUAUAUAUAUAUAUAUAUAUGAGUCAGCGUUGCAUUGAUCGAUUAGUGCUUCUACCGAUCGGUGUGUGGUGUAAAAUAAGGGUUUCACAUGUAGUCGCACUAAUCGAUUGUCGAUCUCCUGCUUGGUAUAUUUUGACCACUUCCUGCUUUCUUCAAGUAUCGCUCCGUUGCCCAUAUCCUUCCUCAUUUAGCCCUCAACGCCGUUUUAGCCAUUGUAUUGCCACACAAAUAUUUAAUAUAUGCAAAAUGCAUCAAUCUAACUCCUAAAUACAAUAAUAGCUAACAUGCAGCUAAACGACAUAUAAAUGAUUGUACUAAUGCUCGAUUCUUACCUUAAAUAGAUGUGAAUAAGUAUACAUUUUACACAUUUAACCCUUUAGUAUUUGGUGGUCAUCAUGGCUUCAGUUUUCAGGAGACGGUUGUGGAUACAGUCUUAAAAUUCGGACGGGGUGUGUCCGGGGUGGGUUUACUUAUUUUUGUUUUUGGUCUUAUAGUUAGGAAAUUAGAGGAUUUUGUGUAUAUUGAAUUAUACAAUUUUUGGUGUUGGAACUUAAUAUAGUAGCUACCCAGAUGUUAAUACGAUCAAUUCCACAUUUUAGAGAUGUUGAUCCAUUUCGAGAAAUAUAUUUCACUAAAUAACUAAUCCCUCCACUAAACGCAUUGGGCUCACUUACUCAAUAUAGAAAUAUAUCUCUUUGUUAUGAGAUCAAAGUGGAUUAGACUAGUUACAUGUGUACCUUUUUAUAUUUAGGGAUUAAGAGAGUAAGUGUUUUGGUGAUAAUAAGAAAUAAUAUAGUUUUAUAUUAUCAGUAGUGAAAUAAUUAUUUCACUUUGUCUGGUCCAAUACAUGCCGAAUGUGCUAGCACAAUAAGUCAAAAUAAUAACUAUAAAAAAUAUUCUAUAUCUAUCGUAAUCAAGACAGAUCACUUAAAUAUAUUAUUAAAUACAUUGUGCUACAAUCUUUCUCGAUGGUUAGUUCAAUUCCAUUUAGAUUGUGAAUAAUUUAAUUUAUAUUAUAAAACGAACUUUCAAAAUGAUCUUAUGUGUUAUAUCAAAAUCAGCACACCAAUUCGAAUAUGAUUAGAAUAUUAGACUCGUGUAAUUGUUUAAAUAUUAGUUAAAUGCAUUGAAUGCCAUAAUGCAUAUUCUCAUAAAAUGAUAUUAUACUAUUUCAUUAAAUUAAUACUAAAAUUAUGUAGAUAAAUGUGAGAGACUUUUAGUCUACUGUCCCAACAAAUAUACACUCGAGUUAGGACUUUAUUUCGGCGGAGACACUUUUGACACACAACAACCAACCUUGAGAGCGGUUAUAAACCCUAAAAAUGAAAAGAGCGAGGAACACUCAUCUAGAGCUUAGUGUGAAACGAAUAGGAACAGGCAACACAGAAUUUAAUCGUUGGCGGAAUGAAGACAACAUGACAAGGAGAAUGUUCGCCUUCUGUUAUUCAUAGAGUUUAUAUUUCUCUUCUUUUAAUUUAUUGAUUAUUGCAUCCAACAAAUAUUGUUUAUUGAUUUUGAUGGAACUAUACGUAGGUAGAUUUCAUUAUAGGAUUUAAUCGAAUCCCGUAGUGGAUAUUUUGUACUAUGUUUUAUUUUUAUGCAUGUGAUUUAAUUUUCAGUUUAAUUCUCGUGCUUGGAAUGUUUGAAUGCGUGGACUUGAUAACAUCACUGUCGCCAUUAGACACCAGGCCAUUAUUGAGAAUAUAUCACGCUCUUAAUUAUGUAAAUCAUCCUUCUGAAUUAGUUUUUUCUUUUAUAAACAAUACCUUAGAUCACGGUUCAUACUGUAUAUUUUAUGUUGAUCGACCGUGAUUGUAAUUACUUGAUUGAUUCUCAUUGAAUCAAUCCUCCUAUAUAUAUAUAUAUAUAUACUCACAUAUACAUCAAUGAAAAGUGAAAACUCCUAACUUGGGAUAUCCUUUUAUGGUAUCACAACCAUUAGCCUCACGACAUCUCUGAUCCAUAAUUAUCAUUUGUUUUUCUCCAUUUCUUCACUUAUAAUGUCGGACGAUCCCUCGAUCUCUCCCAACCAAACCACCGCCACCACGACUGUGAUGCGAUCUCUUGAGUAUCAUAAGAUUUCUUUACUAAACGUAAGAAAACUCUUGUUUAUUAUUUCUCUGCAUUAUCAAAACCCUAGCACAAUACGGCUAUUUAAAGAGAAUCAAAACCCUAGAAUCCUAAUCUAACUAGGAAAGAUAAUUACCUAUACUAAUAAAAUACUUAAUAAUUCCCUAAUCACUACUACUCACGCCAUAUAUUAAUCUAAAUAUACUAAUCUAAUCUAAUUAUCAAUAAACUACUAAUUAAAAUAAUACUUAAAUAAUAUAUUAAAUAAUAAAAUACUAACUAACGAAUAAAUAUACGAUAUAUUAAAUAUAUAUCGUAUCAAACCACCCCUCUUGAAAUGAACCUUGUCCUCAAGGUUCGAGUCAAUUUGGUCCCUCUUUUUUGCGUUUCCACCUAUGUUUGACUUCAGCGACUUUCUUUCCGAGAAAGAUGUAUUCCUUUGUUUGACCAAUUUUCACAAGCACGUGACUAUCUUUCUUGAUUUUAUGAGUGAAGUCAUCUCUCUCGGUGGAAUCAUGAACUUGGUCUCCAAAGUGAUCCACUUUAGCCAAACAAAAACUAGAUAACUUGGAGUGGUAUUUUUCUUCACAAUAAACAACUAAUUCCACCGAAUUCUCAUUAUGCAAAAUUGGAUCUUCCUUAAAAUUAUGAAAUUCUUUCAAAAUUUCAUGCAAUUUUUUGUUCUCCUCCUUCGUUAAUUUCUUGUCUUCGUCCCACUUUAUCUCAGUUGACUCCGAUUCUUCUUCUUUCGGCUCUUCGUCCCACUUUAUCUCAGUGGAUUCCGAUAAUUCUUCUUUCGGCUCGUCGUCCCACUUUAUCUCAGUUGAAUCCGAUUCUUCUUCUUUCGGCGAACUCACAAACAAUUGGGGUUCUUCGAAAAAUUCAUCGUCGUCCUCUUCCUCUUCCUCCGGCGAUAGGCUCGGCAGCGGCAGCGGCGGUAGUGGUGUUGUUGGUCGGCGGUGGCGGUCUCUUCGGCUCUUAUGUUGGCGCCGUCCUUGACUUUGUUCGAGCAGUUUUUGGAGACCAAUCCGUAUCUCCUCCACGGAUUUUUCCAAUCGCUCUAAACGUUUUCUCUCGGACGACAUAAUUUCGCAAAGUGUUGAUGUAAUCUCAACUUUGCUCCAGCGUAGCUUUGAUAUAAUCUCUGCCUUGCUAACGAAGCGUUGGUGUUAAUCGCAACUUCGCUCUGAUACCAAUUGAUGCGAUCUCUUGAGUAUCAUAAGAUUUCUUUACUAAACGUAAGAAAACUCUUGUUUAUUAUUUCUCUGCAUUAUCAAAACCCUAGCACAAUACGGCUAUUUAAAGAGAAUCAAAACCCUAGAAUCCUAAUCUAACUAGGAAAGAUAAUUACCUAUACUAAUAAAAUACUUAAUAAUUCCCUAAUCACUACUACUCACGCCAUAUAUUAAUCUAAAUAUACUAAUCUAAUCUAAUUAUCAAUAAACUACUAAUUAAAAUAAUACUUAAAUAAUAUAUUAAAUAAUAAAAUACUAACUAACGAAUAAAUAUACGAUAUAUUAAAUAUAUAUGGUUAAUUAAAAUUUGUUUUGAAUAAAGAAAAGAAAAAUAAAAUUAAUUUAGCUAGAACCAAAAUCCCAUUUUCAUUCUACUACUUUUGCCCUCGAUUUUGUCUCAAAUUUCUUAGUAGCUCGAUUAAAAUUUGUAGAAAAGGUCUGCUCGAGAGUCAUUCAACAUCUACGGAGGACAUUGAAAUUUAGUGGCCGAAGACAAUAGAGAAUUGAAAAUUGUACAGUAAGCCCUCGUAUGAUAACUAGCAUUAUCAAAAAAGUUGUACAGUAAGCCUAACUCGUAUGAUAAUGAAGAACACCUGAAACAUUAUUGAACUAAUGUAUCUUUACCAAAAUCAAAUUUUUUUGACAGAAAGUAAAAUAAACUCAUGUGAGAUAUUGACAACUAUUUUGAAGAAAAUAAGAAACAACAGUUGUAACAAUAAAUUUAAAAUUAUGCAAUGAAUAAAAAACGAACUUCUUCAUGCAACCAUGAUGCAAAUAGAGUAUUCAUUUGAAUCAAAAUCCGUCAAAAUGUCAACUAAAUCUUGUACUGACGUAAAUAUUUUUAUUUUGUAGUAUUGCUCUUAAAGCCAUUACGAAGGGAUAUGAAUGUGACUAAUGCAGCAUCCCGGCGAUCGAUGAUAAAUGAAUAUUGUCAUUUUGACACGAUAAGUUCCUGACAACACAUACUGUUCAAAUCAAUCAAUAAAUAAAUAAAAUAAUGUUGAAAAAUCAAAAGUAAGCAUAUUUCUCUAGUACUUUGGUGAUUUGAAUGCAACUUCUCAUCUUGCCACAUUCUUAAACAAAGUUUUGCCAUCUUUGUGUGUGCGUUUUUUCCCCACACGUGGGGGAGAUGGAGAUGCCAGCGGUUUAUCUAGUUGGAUUGUGCAGAGUUAGUUUUUGCUGAGGAAAACAAGCCAAGAGGGGGAAAAUGAGGAAAAAAAAAAAAAAAAAAAAAAAGGAAAAAUAGUCAUAAAAAAAGCAUAGAAAGCUAAAAAUAAUCAUAAUUCGUAUAAAUGAAUGUGCUAAAAACACUAAUUAAGGAAUGCAAAACAACCCAAGGGAAAAUGGACCCUCAAAGUCAUCCACCACAUUGAAAUUGAAAUAAAUCGACCAGGAAAAAACUUAUAUAUCGUACAUUUCUUAAAUAAAACAGUAAACUAGCUCGAAAAUGUCGACAUGAGGGGGAUGAGAGAACGAAGAAUAAAAGGAGAAUAUAUUGGCGAUGGAUGGAGUAGUUUCUUCCAUCUAAAAUGAUCGUGAUGUUAUCGUGUGAACUAAGAAGUUGUGUAUUAGUUAAUAUACCAUAGUAAAAACUAAAAAGCCGCCCGGGAAAAGCAAAGAGCUACGAAAUUACUGAGAAACACCUAGGGCUACGAAAAUUGUUCAGAAAAGAAAAAUUAGAAAUAACCGACUUGAGUAGUGGGGUCAGAUAUGAGAAUAUUCUUGUAGUGGGAGGUAAUAUUAAAAAUAAAACUGAAAAUAUGAAAUGAAAAUAUUGCCCCUAGGGCUACAUCUAGGGUUAUAGGUCAAAAUAUCCUCCUUUUAUAAACAAACAUUGUCUUAUUAUCAUUUUAAUUUCUUUUAAGGGUAAAUUACAACCACCCCUGGAUGUGUGGUCAAAUUACGAAAAUCCCCUCCCCUUUGGGUAAUUACAACCUCCUCAAUUAUAAAUCUUCUUACACGUCCACCCUUGCGGUGUCAAAUUUAGUGGAAUCUUUUAGAUUAUACAAAAUAUUCUCAAUUUUGUACCCAUUUUAUUCCAUUCGAACUCCACAUUUUGAAGCAAGAUGAUCAUAAGAUGUGCUUUUUGGCUUGUAAAUAUUAGAUUAUGGUGCAUCACAGAUUGCAUUUUUGUACAAAUGAGUACAAACUAGAGAACAUUCCACGAAAUCUUGAAGAUUAUGUUGAACUUGACACCAUAAGGGUGGACGUGUAAGAACAUUUAUAGUUGAGGGGUAGUUGUAAUAAUCCAAACAUGAGAGGUUUUUCGUAAUUUAAUCAUUCCACGAAAUCUAGAAGACUAUGUUGAAUUUGACACCAAACAUGAGGGAUUUUUCAUUUUUGGACGUGUAAGAACAUUUAUAGUUGAGGGGUAGUUGUAAUAAUCCAAACAUGAGGGAUUUUUCAUAAUUUGACCAUAGUGAGAAGUUGUAAUUUACCCUUGUUUAUAAUUACUAUGGAGGGAUAAUUGUGUGCAAACUGCAAUGUUUUGACCAAAUACUUGUAUUUAAAUGAAUUAAAUUAUUGAGCAAGAUACUUGAUUAUAAUGAGUAAAAAUGCAUAAAAAAGUAUGAACGUAUAGAGACUAUAUAGAUCCCCUAAGUUGAAGGAAAAUGGACAGGCUAUUGACCUCUCAUAGAACCCCAACGGCAUACGGAAGAUCAGCCAUCCAUCCAUCAAAAUGUUAAAAAACACACACACACACACACACAUACUUCAACACUGGAUAUGGAUUCCAGAUUCGCUGGAAAAAGGAAAAAAAAGGAAAAUGUCAAAACAAAGCUUUUAUUUUUUAAUAUCCCCAUGUUGAAUACAAGAACGUGCGUAGGUUUACGCCUUUUCAAUUUCUUGCAACGUCACGUUGUGUUGUGUUGUGUUGACACUUUCCAAAUAAUUUAAUUCCUAAAAAUUAAAUUGAUUGACAAAGUCUUUGCGUUUCCUUCUCUGUUAAUCUACUGUUAACUUGUUUAUCUGGGUUGUCCUUCAUUUUUCGAAAUUGCAUGAAAUUGAAACUUCGCCUCUUUUUUUUGUUGAGUGUGAUUGUUGUGCAUGGGCGAUUCCGUUUUCCCCAAUUUAUUACAUUUGCUUUCAUUUUAUUUUGAGGUUGUCACAAUUUCUUGCAGGCUACACGGAAUUUUGUUAUGUUGAUUAAGCACUAAUUCUUUCUUUAACUGCAGAUUCCUUUUGCUGAACAACUGAACAAGGAUUGAUUUGUUUCUAUACACAUUUCAAUUCACUUAAUGAUUGAAUAUCAGGUUUGUGAAUAUUUCAUAUAAUUAUUUUUAUUUUAUUUUUUUGUGAUUUAUUUAUUUGUUGAUCUGGUUUUCUAGACAGGGGGAAAAAAAAAAGAAAAACAAAUUGAUAUUGUAAAACCGGGGGCAAGAAUUUCUAUUACGGAAUGGUGAAAUUUGUAUUUGGUCUGUGAAUUAGUUAUAUUUUAUUUAAUUUAUCCUACAAAUGGAACAGAACAUAAUUAGAGAAAAUUUCCCUAAUGUAGCUAAUUCAAAUGGCUUAACAUGGUUUUUUAAGGAUUUGAAAUAUGCUACAAGAGUAUCUGUUUUUUAUUCGGAUCGUACCACUUUCCGUCACAAUUAAUUAAUCUUUUUAGUUCAAAUCAGAGUAUCUGUUAUUCCUAAUAUGUCUCCGAUACGCAAUUCAGCAUAGAGAAUCGGGGAAGAUUGGGCCAUUUUUUAUUUCUUCCAUUGUUUUAAAAAUUGAGAUUGUUAUCGUACGGACAGGUUUUCUCCUUUUCCAAUCGAGCCCUGCCGUUGUAAUGUUAUAGUAACAUGUCAUCGAGUUGAAUAAAUGCUACCGUUGUCAUAUUUAUUUAUUAUAUAUUUGGAUGUUUAAACUGAUAUUAAUAAUAAUAAGAUGAACGCUGCAGCAUUUCAGUGUGGACUAUCAGAAUAUAGUGACGUCAUGGAUCCACAAGUAAAAGAUUAUUAUAGAUUUCGCAGCUCAAGUGUUUCGUCUACCAACAGUGAUGUGUUUGAACCCACUUCAAGUAACAAUGGUACAAAUAUUAUUUUACUCUUGCGAUCAUUUACCUAAUCUGAAUAUAUUCACUUCGAGUUUUUUGUUUUGUGUGUACAGCUAAGCAGCGAGCAUCUGCAGUAGAAUGGUUAAAUGGUAUUCUGCCUGAUUUAAGUUUGCCAAUAAAUGCUUCAGACGAAGAAUUACGAGCAUUCUUGGUUGAUGGAUCUGUUUUAUGUCGAUUACUAAACAAACUAAAACCUGCUUCCGUGCCUGAGGUACCUCCUAGUUUAUUAUUAUUAUUUUUAAUUAUUAUUAUUAUUAAUUUUAAUUAUUAUUUAUAAAUGUUAGUGUGGUGGUGGUUCUAUUCGUUCUUCACAAACGCGGCAAGAAAACGUACAGAGGUUUUUGUUAGCAAUGGAUGAAAUGGGGUUACCGAGGUUUCAGGCGGCAGAGUUGGAAAAGGUGAUUGAUUACACUUUAAUGGAAUGGAGAUGAUAAAUAUUUUUUUUUUCUCGUGGUGAAAUUAAUUAAUUGAUUGAUUUAGUCGCAAUUUUGUUGUAGGGAUCGAUGAAAAUAGUGUUGGACUGCCUAUUAACAUUACAGACGCAAUUUACACUGAAUGCCGAGAGACAUAAUAGUAAUGGAACUGAUUUGAGUUCAAGACGGUUUCUCUCUUCCCCACCUUUUGGAGAAGACAGACGAAAGUUUGCUCCAGAGUCUAAAUUUCAGCGUGCUUUACGUAGUCCUAUUAAGACAGGUCUUUUUUUUUUUUCUCUUGUCUCCAAAUCAGUGUGUAAGAAGUUAUAUAUAUAUAUAACUAAAUUGAUUGUUUAAAUUGGAAUGUUGUAGAGCCAUCAGCUGCGCUUAUAAAUCACGUUGGUCAUAAGUUUCAUGAAGUCUUUCAGUUUAAACAAGUAUCUUAUACGGAUGCAAAUAUUUCAGAAAUGAUGAAAUCCAACAGCUUUGAUGUAAGUGAUUUCCUAAAUUAUUUAAUUUUUUUUUCCCGCCAAGUGUUCCUAAAAUUGACUUUAAAAGUUUUGUAUGUAUAAAUAUGUAUAUGUGAUGCAGAAUUCUCCAACGCAGUCGCUAUUAAGUGUGAUCAAUGGUAUUUUAGAUGAAAGCAUUGAGCAGAAGAAUGGAGAAAUACCUCAUGUAUGUAUUAAGAGAUUAAAAAGAUUUUUUUUUUAUUAGAAUCCAAAAACUUUUAAAGGUCUAACAAACAGAUUAUUGGCUUUGUAAUUGUUCAGCGUGUAGCUUGCCUAUUGAGAAAAGUUGUGCAGGAGAUUGAACGUCGAAUAUGUACUCAAGCAGAGCAUCUUCGAACGGUAAUGUAUUUUAUCAUGUGGGGUCCGGUUGUUUAAUGAUUAUUAUAUUCAUUAGCCCGAAACAUGCGCUCAUUCUUCUUCUUCUUUUUUUUUUUUAAUUUAUCCUGCAGCAAAAUAAUAUUUUUAAAGCUCGGGAGGAGAAGUACCAAUCUAGAAUUAGAGUUCUUGAAGCCCUUGCAACAGGGACUAGUGACGAGACACAGGUAUAAUAGUAAGGCUUCGUAUUUCGCCAUAAUGUAUGUAUUCAAAUUUAUGUAAGUACAUGUUUAUAUAAAUUGCAUAACCAAUUCGCCAAAAUUGAUUUUUUUUGUUUUUUUGGCAGAUUGUUAUGAACCAGCUCCAACAGAUCAAGGUAAUUCAAUUUCUUCACUGUAUGACUGUUAUCUUCAAGUUCAUAUGAUUUAGCUGCUUAUAGACGACGAGCAUCAAAUUAAGGAAGGAAAAAAUUGUUGAAUGUAAUCAAGAUUCGUAAUUCGUGUGCAAAAACAUUACCUGUUAUUACAAUAAGAAUUGAAUACAAGCAUGUAAUUCUGGUGAUAGUGAAUUUUAUUUACAUGUAGUUUUGGGUUUUGCAUGCUUAAAUAUUGUAUUCAUCUGCUCCAAAAAAUGCAGAAUGAGAAAAACAAAAUAGAAGAGAAAAAGAAAGCGGAGGAACAAGAAAUGGCAAGACUGAUGAAAGAGAAAGACGACCUUAAUCAAGAGAUAUCAAAUCUUAAGCAACAGCUCCAAGAUAUAGCUAAGACAUCCCAAGCUGAAUCUCAAGCUCAAGCUCAAGCUCAAGCUCAAGCUCAACAACUACAGCUCAACGAUACAUCUAAAGAGUCUCAAAGUUUACUAACCGAGGAGUCAACAAAUAGAGUUAAGGAACUUGAGGAUAGGUUAAAACUAACUCUAAGCUUACAAACAGAGUCCACAAAUAAAGUGAAGGAGCUCGAAGAUAGGUUAAAAGAGUCUGUCAUCUUGCAAACCGAGUCGGCAAAUAAAGUUAAGGAGCUUGAAGACAGGUUGAAAGAGGCUGAAAUCUUGCAAGCAGAGUCAACAAAUAAAGUGAAGGAGCUUAAAGAGAGGUUAAAAGAGAGGGCAAGCUUAGAAACAGAGUCGACAAAUCAAGUGAGGGAGCUUGAAGAUAAGUUAAACGAGACUGCAAGUUUGCUAACACAGUCAAGAAAUAGAGUUAUGGAGGUUGAGGCAUCCCUUGAAUCCAAAUCUGAAUGGUGGAAGAAGAAAGAAAAUAUCUACCAUAUAUUCACCGAAUUUCAGCUCGGUGCACUACGUGUAAUGCUUCUCUCUCUCUCUACCAUCUUACCUUUAUGUAUCACUUUUUUCUUGGAUUAAGUAAUUUCAUUCUUAUUUUCAUGUAUUUCAUUUCAGGAACUAAAAUUUUCAUCUCAGUCGAUACACCAAGAAAUUUUGAAAACGAAGAAAAGCUAUUCAGAAGAAUUCACUACUUUAGGUAAUUCUAUUUUCUUUUUUUUAAUCGGAUGAAAUAUAUAUUUAUACAUUGCGACUCACACUAAUCGUCGUAACAGGGUCAAGGAUCAAGACUCUAGACGAUGCAGCAAAGAACUAUUAUUCAGUCCUUGCUGAAAAUCGAAAGCUGCACAAUGAACUACAAGAGCUAAAAGGUGACACAUUAUUGUUGACAUAGUUGAACAUAAAAAAGAACACACACGCACACACACUAAAUUGGUGUAUUUCCUCACGUGUUGAUUUGAAUAGGAAAUAUUAGGGUGUAUUGCCGGAUAAGGCCAUUUCUCCCGGGGCAGAAAGGGAAAAGUUCGAUUAUUGAGUACGUUGGAGACAAUGGUGAGCUAAUAGUUUCGAAUCCAUCAAAACAAGGCAAAGAAGGACGCCGCUCCUUCAAAUUCGAUAAAGUGUACAGCCCAGCAGCAACACAAGGUUUAUUUUAUUUUAUAUCUUCAUUAAUAAAAAGACGGUACUAAUUAGUUUAUCUCUAUGUAUGUUAUUUCUUAUUGACAUAAAUUUCGUAUUAUCUGCAGCUGAAGUAUUUUCAGACACACAACCGUUAGUACAAUCUGUUUUGGAUGGAUACAACGUAUGUAUAUUUGCGUAUGGUCAGACUGGUUCAGGGAAGACCUACACCAUGGUAUGAAACUAACUAUAAAUAGGUUUAUAAUUUCAACUUAUAAUUAUUUAUUUUUUGUUAAGUGAAUGAAUUCUUUGUCUCUCCAGACUGGACCUGAUGGAGCAACGGAAGAAGAAUGGGGGGUUAAUUAUCGGGCUUUAAACAAUCUUUUCCGUAUUUCACAGAGUAGGGAGAGCAACUUUACAUAUGAAAUUUCCGUCCAGAUAGUGGAAAUAUAUAACGAACAAGUCCGUGAUUUGCUCGUAAAAAACGACGGUUCAGCAAAAAGAUAUCCUCUAUUUAAAAUUAUUAUGUUUCCAAUCUCAUAUUUUUUGACACUAAAUUUUGAUCCAUUAUUGGUUAUUACAUACAUGUUGCAUCAAAAAUACUUGUUAUCCUUGACUUGCACACACUCGGGAUUUUGUCAACGUCGCAACCCAAUGGUUUGGCAGUGCCAGAUGCUAGCAUUCAUGUGGUAAAAUCAACCUCAGCUGUUUUGGAACUUAUGGAUAUUGGACUGAAUAAUAGAGCCAAAAGUUCGACUGCCAUGAAUGAAAGAAGUAGUAGAUCACACAGGUAUUUCUAUAAUUAUUGUUUUUCAAGAUUCUUGUAUUAUUAUGCAAUCGAUGCAUAUAUAUAUAUAUAUAUAUAUAUAUAUAUAUAUAUAUAUAUAUAUAUAUAUAUAUAUAUAUAUAUAUAUAUAUAUAUAUAUAUAUAUAUAUAUAUAUAUAUAUAUAUAUAUAUAUAUAUAUAUAUAUAUAUAUAUAUAUAUAUAUAUAUAUAUAUAUAUAUAUAUAUAUAUAUAUAUAUAAUUAGUGGGGUAUGAAUAAAUACAGUAUUGUGUCAAUUCAUGCGCGGGGGCUGGAUCUAAAGAGUGGUUCUUCUCUACGAGGCAGUCUUCAUUUAGUAGAUCUUGCUGGAAGUGAAAGAAUUGACCGCUCGGAAGUAACUGGAGACAGACUUAAAGAGGCACAGCAUAUAAACAAAUCAUUAUCCGCACUUGGUGAUGUCAUCUUUGCUUUGGCACAAAAGAAUUCUCACGUUCCUUAUCGCAACAGCAAGCUCACUCAAGUCCUACAGGGCUCCUUAGGUAUGUAUAAUAGCUUUUUUUUUUUUUAAUAAUUCUUCUGAUAUAAGUUAGUUAAUUGAAUAUCGAAUAUUGGUAUUGCAAUGAGUAAUUGAAAAAAAGUGGUUAAUGAUCAGGUGGUCAGGCAAAGACACUUAUGUUUGUGCAGCUGAAUCCAGAUGCAACUUCGUUUAGUGAAACCUUAAGUACAUUGAAGUUUGCUGAAAGGGUAUCUGGUGUUGAGCUCGGCGCAGCUAAAAGCUCCAAAGAUGGCAAAGAUGUUCGUGAGUUGAUGGAACAGGUAACACAACAUUAUUACGAUUAUUAUUUUUCUGCUAUCUAACUUGCGAAUAAUAAUUUAACCAAAUUUAUGUUUCAUUUGACAUGUCCCUGAACUUUGUUAAGUGUAUCCAUUUAUUUGCUCACAAGUCUCUAUAUUAUCAUAAUUAUUUAUUAUACAAUAGACAAUAUAUAUGAUAUGAUACAUUUUUUGGGUAAUAAAUAGGUUUCAUCUCUAAGAGACACCAUAGCAAAGAAAGAUGAGGAGAUAGAGACACUGCAGCUUCUUAAAGAUCCCAAAAAUGGAACCAAUGCUGAGAAACGGGCUACCACCUCAUUGAGGUACGUAUCAUCUUCUACGGGUACUUGUUAACAAUUUCACAAAAAUAUAUAAUCACGAUUCUCAACAUCAGAAAAUAUCCAUAUUAAUUAUUUUUUUUUUGCGGUUGAAGCUGAGAUCUUAUGACUUAGGUGGUUGUGCAGAUAGAUAGUGCUGAGAAAUUUAGUGAUUUAUCUGAUAGUGUACUUUUAUCUUUGCAAAACAGAAACUGAUGGAGAGGCUCUUCCCUGAUUAAGAAAGACAAAUUGGGAACGUACACAAGUAAGCACAUUCGCCUUAUUUGCCCGCGCCUCAAAAAAUGCCUACUUGAUACAAACCACUUUUCUUUUCUUAUCUUACUAAAUCUUCACCGAGUACCAACUACUAAUAGUGUAUUUCUCUUGGUUUUCCACAGGCGUAGAGUUCCACGACCCUCAACUGGUAUGACCACACACAUAUUUAUAUAUAUAUAAUAACGAUACACAAUUGGUAAAUUAUGACGUUGAUGAGCAAUUCGGUUGUAUUCAGCUUUAGCUACUCGUGAUCUUGUUUCAGGUUUGAGAAAAUAUGCCAACCAAGGUGGCAAUAGUUGAGCAUAUAUAGUUUCAGUUAUUUCUUGAUUUUAUUCAUUCUUUAAUUUGCACUGUGAUUUUGAUCCAUCCAUUAUAUUUCCACUUUUCCCUCUUUUUUUCAUGUUCAUAAUCAUUGUAUAUAGGUUUCGUUUAACCCCCAUAGUAAGAACCACAACUACUUGUAACCUUUGGUUGUGUUGUGGUGUGGUGUUCCUUUGCAUUUACUGCAAUCCUGGAUGGAAGCUUGUAACUUCAUAACAAGGCCAAACUUGAGAAUGUUAUUUUCGAAACAAAUUACUGCACAACGCAAUUCUUUUAAUUACAUAUCAAUCCUCAAUCGUCCACUGGUCAGCAAAAAUUCUUAUUGAGGAGAUUCGCUAGUUUUUGUUCUUAUGGUCCGAAUGGAGCUUCAAAUUUUGUCCAAGAAAUACCAACUUCGCUGCUCAUCACCUUGCCAGUUGGGGCAAUUUUUUUCCAAAUGUAAAUUUAAUUCGUUCUUCUUGCUUUUGUGACGGGAAUUCCCGAUUUUAGAUUUUUUUUUUAUUACGUUUUCUUAAUACAAUUUUUACUUACAAAAAAAAAAGACAAGAAAUUAGAAAAAAAUUCAAAUAUGAUUUUGAACCAAUCAGCAUAAGGUGGUGGCUGGUCUAUUCUUGUGUUCUUUUUCAAUUAAUAAUUUGUGGCUCAUUUGUAAGAUAUAUUUCCAUUGGCUGGUCAUUUAAUGGAUACUAAAGUUUUGAAUAAACACUUGGUGGGGUAUGCUAAAAUUACAGGACCAAAUUAAUCCAAUAUGUAAACUGUUUAAGAAAUAUGGACCACUAUAAGUCAUAAAUUAAUUCUCAAAAGGAAAAAUAUUUUAAAAUAUUCGAAGAGCACCCACUAUUGACUAACUAUUUACCAACUAUUUACCAACUAUUUACUACUUUCUUACUAUUAUCUAACAUCUUAUUGCAUAUUCUAUAGCUUAAAAACAUGGGUAAAACCUUGUAAUGGAUCAUGUAUGUUUUCAUAUCAGUUAAUCUUUAACUUAUCAAUUUAUAACAAUAUUUACUUGAUCCAAAAACCAUGUUUGUGGCAGAUUGGUUGUAAUGAUCCACGUAGUCAUUUAGUUUAUUGUAAAAAAAAAAAGAUUAAUCUUGGUGAGUUAAGUAAUUAUUCAAACAUGGCAUGAAUGUUUUCCUUCCUACAACUCAAUGAUGUUAACUUCUUCUAAAGUUUGACAAUUUCUAUAUACAACAAUGGGGCUCUUCGACGUAACCCAUCAAAUAUUUUAUUAAUAGGAAAAUGCACAAAUAAUAAAUCACUCUUUGAGAUGAACUCAUACUCUUUUCAAGAAGAGAGGAGUGAGAGGUCGAGGUGGGAGAUGGAUCGGAAACAGAUAGGGACCAUGAAGUGGUUAUGGAGGGUGAUGGCGAAGCGGGUGGCACGCUUCAGGGCGUACCACUUGCUGCAGAGGAGGGCGGCGGGGUUGUGGCCGCGGACGUCCAGAACAUUGGCGAUUUAGUUUUUGUCGAGAAAUUUAGAUUAAACUGGACGCUGAUUGACUAUGUUGUUUGCAUAGUCUAUUAAUAAAUCAACUAUGUUUUUUUUAUAGUUAAUUUAUUAGAUCUAAUAUACGUUUUAAUAUUUUAAUCAACUACAAUCGAUUAAUAAAUCAAUAGUAGAUUAGCGUUCAGUUUAAUCCAAAUUUUACAAAAGAACAUAAGGUAAAUUAGAAAAUUGCGAAAAAGAAAUAUGAGAGAGUUUUUCCAAAUUAUUUUUUUAAUAGGGUUCUACCUCAUAUGAUUUUUUGAAAUGAAGGGGUUAUGCUAAUUUUUCCUUUUAAAGUAAUCAUAUCUAAGAUAUAUAUAUAUUAGAGAUAAAAUCAUACUUGCAAAAUUAAUGGCAUUGGAUGGGAUUAAUUAUUAAGAGAUGUGCUAUUUUCACCUUCAAAAUAUUUUAUCACACCACUAAAUUAGAUAUAUUUCCCAUUUUACCUCUUUCUUCUUCUCUCACACCAAUAUUUUUUACGAAAGUAUAAACCAUCUACCACUAAAAUAAUUAAAAUAUUUAUAUAAAAAAACCCCACAAUUUUCACUGAAAAUCUCACCCUCUCCACCUUAAAUGAAUAAUACUUUCGUAAAAGAAAAACAUUUUUGAAGGUCAAAAAGAGCAGGAAUUCACAUUUUUUGAUAAAUAAAUUAAGAUUGUUUGUAUGAAAGAUCUUGAACUUCCUCCAGAAUUGGCAUGUUUGGCUUAAUAUAAUUUUGUUUCCUAAUUUUUUUUUACAUAAUCUUGUAAUAAAUAUUUCUAUUGCAAAAAAAAAAAAAAAAAAAAAAUAGAAAUAACUAAUAACACAUGAAGAUUAAGUGAAUAUAAAGAAGGGUGGUAGAUUAUAAAUUUGAGAGGAAUUUAUGAUAUUUUAUAAUCUUUGGUGGUGAAUUGAGAUACUUUGGAUGUGAAAAAUAAGACCACUCAUUAUUUAUUUUAUGGAUUAUUUUAGAGACUCCCCUCAUAUGAAAAAUAUAUAUAACUAACCACCAAACUAAUUACAUCCUUGAUUCCUUGUGCAUACCCCUCCAUUUUGAAAUUAAUAUGACAGACCCCCAUUGCUCACCCUGAAGUACUAAUGUGCCCUUUUAAAAUCUGUUUUAAAGCCUAGCCACUCACAGUCGUCUAUCUCUUCCUCUCUCAAAUCUCAGAUUCAAAUCCCGCCUCUCUCCAACUGGCGAAGUUGCUUCUCGGAGUCAUAACUCUCUCUCACAUGGUCGGAAUUCGAUGGUUUAACUACCGUUGGAUUCCUCUCGUCGAGCACUUUCUUUUGGGGGUGAUUUCAUUCAGUUUGGAGCGCUGGAUCUGUUUCUGCAAUUUUUUUUUCAGUCGACGCAUAUUUCGACGACGGUAGGUCUUGCCGGAGGUGUAUUUUGUAUUCCGCUAGUCGGAAUUUGACGGGCUACCCACCGUUGGAUUCCUUUCACCGAGAUCUAUAUUUUGAUGGUAAUCUCAUUCAUUUUUAUAUUGUCAGAUUUAUUUCUAUAAUCUUUUUCAUUUGUGAGCGCGGAACCUUGGGUGGUUAGCGGCGGCUAGGGUUUUGGUAGGAGGCGAUUGGGGUGAGAAGUCAUUGGCGGUUUGGUUUAGAAUUCGUAGCUAUGGUCUCUCUCUCUCUCUCUCUCUCUCUCUCUCUCUCUCUCUCUCUCUCUCUCUCUCUCUCUCUCUCUCUCUCUCUCUCUCUCUCUCUCUGUGUGUUUAUUUUAGAGUGUUUUGAUGGUUCUUCAAUUUUUGUUAUUUGCACUAAAAUAAUUUUUUUUUUUUUGAUUUUACAAUUGCAUCUUAAUGAAAACCAUUCAUCCUCUACUUGAAGGUGUCAAAAUUUUUGUUGAAGUUAUAUCUGCUUCAAGUUACAAUAUUCAACAGAUUGUGUACAUUACCAUACAAUAAUAGUUACAUAUAGUAAAAUGUAGUUACAUAUGCAUAUAUUUGUCUAUUUUCGAUUUGUAUUUUAUUGGUUCUAAGGUGAUUUGUAAUAUAAAUAUUGAUAUUUGUAAUGGGGUUUAUGAAUUUCUUUUGUAUAAGCCAGUAUUCGUGUGUAUACAUAAUGAUCGAAUAAAAAUAUCGGGUUAAAAAAAAGAACAUAACUACGAAUUACUAUUGUUUAGUACAAUUACAUGUAGUUAUUUUCAGUACAAUAAACAUAUAUUUCAUAAAAAAAAUUAAUUCAGUUUUUUUUUAAAAAAAGUUAAAUAAAAAAAAUUAAAAAAAAAAUAAUAAAAAUAUAUAUAAAUUAAACAAACAGGUUUAUAUAAAAAAAUGAAAAAUAAUAAUAAUUAAAUCAGUGAAAAUGCUAAAUGUAUGACCAGAAAUGCUGAAUGCAGUUUUGGCAAAAAAUUGCAUAUAAUACUUUCUCCAUUGAAUAUGUCAAAGGAUAAUUUUAACUUGAAUUUAUCCCUAAUUUAUUUGGUAGCUAAGAAUGUGUAAAAUAACCCCUUAAUUUUAUUGAAUACUAUUUACAUACAAGGCUUAAUAGUGACAACUAAACGAGUUCUAAAUUUGAUGAGUACAUUUGAAACUAAUUUAUUUUAUAUAAUUGUUCCAAUCUGAUGUAAUUAUUUAUUCCUCCAAAAUUUAAUUAAUUAAAAAAAAAAUUCCACUUUUUUCCUUGUACUUUGGCUCGAUGUCACUUUAUCCUCUUCUAUUUUUGAUUGCAUCGAUUUGUCCCCCUGUACUUAAAAAUUAUUUCAAUGUGACCCUCGUUGUUAGUUGUCAGACAUUUGACCUUAGCACAGUUUGGUCUAAGCUCUGAAAUUAUAAAAAGACCACCCCUCCCAAUUUAAAUAAUUAUUAAAAAACGAAAAAGAAAAAAAAAACAAAAAAAGUAAUAAUAAAAAAUUCAAGACAACGAGAAAGCAUAGUCCAUGACGAUAUCCACAAUUUAUUUUUAAUUUACUUUUUUUAAUUUUUUAAACUAGGAGGAGUGAUUUUUUUGUAAUUUUUAGACUUAGAUCAAACGGUGUUAAUGUUAAAUGUCUAAAAACUAACGGCGAUAGCCACAUUGAAACAAUAUUUCAAGUACAUGGAGGGCAAAAAUCGAUUCAAUUAAAAGUAGAAGGAGUAAAGUGAUAUCGAGCCAAAGUACAAGGAUGAAAAGUUAAAUUUACCAAAAAAAAAGUAAUAAAAGAUAUAUAUUCAGAAUAUUAAGAGUGUAAUAAAAUAAAAUAAACAAGUAGAAGUAUCUCGAAGACCUCUGAUCCAAUUGUGGCUCACAAAUUUCAAAUUUGAGGUUGUCGUUUAGUAAUGUAAGUUGACAGAAAAAAUAUCUAAAAUAAAAUAGAAAUAAAAAUAGUCAUCAUCUUCCUAUGAAGAAAGGAAGGGCUGUGUUGGAUUUUGCAGUAUUAACCUCAAAAACAAUUGUCGCCUCAAAUGAGAUAAGGUUACUGCCACGCGUCACUCCCUCAUAGAUUCAAGCGAUAAGGAAGCAAUCCAUCUAUUAUGUGGUCAUAAAAUCGAAAUGUAGAGGCAGGUCAGAUCCAACGGCCCACAUGAAUUAAAAAUAAACAAGUUUCAAUAAGGAGCGUUGGAUGAAAUGUUGAAAGAAGAAACAGGGUAGGGGGUGGGUUUGGCAUUAUAAAGGGAGAGGUGCAACAAGGCAUUUCUCCAUCGACUGUUGUUUGUGUCUUCUAAAGCAAAGAAAAGCAAAUUAAAGAGAGGAGAAAUGGCAGCCUCAAUGGUAUCAACCACAGCCACCGCCGCCGUGAGCCGCGCCACCGCAGCUCAAGCGAGCAUGGUUGCUCCUUUCACCGGAUUGAAGUCCACCUCCGCAUUCCCCGCUACCCGCAAGACUGCUGACAUCACCACCAUUGCCACCAACGGUGGAAGAGUCUCCUGCAUGAAGGUACCACAUUUUAUUCAUUUCAUUAAUUUGAAUUCAAUUAUUAAUAAUGUAUAGUUAACUAAUUAAUUAAAUGGAUAUAUAAAUGUUUGAAAUUGAAUGAUUAGGUGUGGCCAACAGUGAACAACAAGAAGUACGAGACACUGUCAUACCUACCUCCUCUAACCAGAGAGCAACUCAUCAAGGAAGUUGAUUACCUUCUCCGCAACAAGCUCAUUCCUUGCAUUGAGUUCGAGUUGGAGGUAUUAUUUCUCGAUCUAUAUAUAUAUUUUCUUUAUUUUAAAAUUAAAAAUGAAUAAAUAAAAAUGAAAAAUAUAAAAAGUUGUAAAUAUAUGUGCAGCACGGAUUUGUGUACCGUCAGCACAACAGCUCCCCAGGAUACUAUGACGGACGAUACUGGACAAUGUGGAAGUUGCCUAUGUUCGGAUGCACAGACGCAGUACAGGUAGUGAACGAGCUUGACGAGGCAAUCAAAGCAUACCCAGAGGGCUUCAUUAGAAUCAUUGGAUUCAACAAUCUGAAGC